rnacentral:misc_RNA from 1 species
UAUUCUCACCCCUCGCAACUUUGUUAUGAGGUCGGUGGACUUGGACGUCUGCUGUGGUCAAACACGGCUCGUCUCAAAUGCAUGAGUGUGACCCCCCUUUGUACGGUGUCAUCUAGUGUGAUAAGCAUCUUCACUGGAGUAUCUUGGAUGGGCAGUGUCCGUCCGAGAGCAUCGUUGGGGUGUGGUGAUGCCGCAAACCGUCUCUCCGAGACAUACUUGACA